GAUGAACGCUGGCGGCGUGCCUAAUACAUGCAAGUCGAGCGAACAGACGAGGAGCUUGCUCCUCUGACGUUAGCGGCGGACGGGUGAGUAACACGUGGAUAACCCACCUAUAAGACUGGGAUAACUUCGGGAAACCGGGGCUAAUACCGGAUAAUAUAUUGAACCGCAUGGUUCAAUAGUGAAAGACGGUUUUGCUGUCACUUAUAGAUGGAUCCGCGCCGCAUUAGCUAGUUGGUAAGGUAACGGCUUACCAAGGCAACGAUGCGUAGCCGACCUGAGAGGGUGAUCGUCCACACUGGAACUGAGACACGGUCCAGACUCCUACGGGAGGCAGCAGUAGGGAAUCUUCCGCAAUGGGCGAAAGCUUGACGGAGCAACGCCGCGUGAGUGAUGAAGGUCUUCGGAUCGUAAAACUCUGUUAUUAGGGAAGAACAAAUGUGUAAGUAACUAUGCACGUCUUGACGGUACCUAAUCAGAAAGCCACGGCUAACUACGUG
rnacentral:rRNA from 1 species